rnacentral:rRNA from 1 species
AUUGAACGCUGGCGGCAUGCUUUACACAUGCAAGUCGAACGGUAACAGGCCGCAAGGUGCUGACGAGUGGCGAACGGGUGAGUAAUGCAUCGGAACGUGCCCAGUCGUGGGGGAUAACGCAGCGAAAGCUGCGCUAAUACCGCAUACGAUCUAUGGAUGAAAGCGGGGGACCGUAAGGCCUCGUGCGAUUGGAGCGGCCGAUGUCAGAUUAGGUAGUUGGUGGGGUAAAGGCUCACCAAGCCAACGAUCUGUAGCCGGUCUGAGAGGACGACCAGCCACACUGGGACUGAGACACGGCCCAGACUCCUACGGGAGGCAGCAGUGGGGAAUUUUGGACAAUGGGCGCAAGCCUGAUCCAGCAAUGCCGCGUGCAGGAAGAAGGCCUUCGGGUUGUAAACUGCUUUUGUACGGAACGAAACGGCUCUGGUUAAUACCUGGGGCUAAUGACGGUACCGUAAGAAUAAGCACCGGCUAACUACGUGCCAGCCGCCGCCGUAAUAC